rnacentral:rRNA from 1 species
UACGUAGGGUGCGAGCGUUGUCCGGAAUUACUGGGCGUAAAGAGCUCGUAGGUGGUUUGUCGCGUUGUUCGUGAAAACUCACAGCUCAACUGUGGGCGUGCGGGCGAUACGGGCAGACUAGAGUACUGCAGGGGAGACUGGAAUUCCUGGUGUAGCGGUGGAAUGCGCAGAUAUCAGGAGGAACACCGGUGGCGAAGGCGGGUCUCUGGGCAGUACCUGACGCUGAGGAGCGAAAGCGUGGGGAGCGAACAGG